CGGCCGGUCGGCGCGGGCGAAGCGCUCGCCGCCGGCCUCGCCGAGCCGCGCCGAACGGCCGUCGGCGCCGUCGGUCGCGCCGGCGCCGACCAC
rnacentral:tRNA from 2 species